AAAAAUAAUCUUGCUACAACCUUUGAUGCCCUGCCUGUCUGUCUCGCUGAAGUACUCGAUGACCUACGAUAGAACCACGAUGUUUUGUUUCAUCAUCGAACUCAUUCGCAUUCACGGUCACAUGAGUAACAGAGAUUAAGAAAUCAUCAUCGUCAUCAUCUGACGACGAAUCCAACACUAGAUGCAUCGAAAGGCUUCGUCGAUUCAUAGCAAUUCCUUUUUACCUAUCUCCAAU
rnacentral:lncRNA from 1 species